CUGCGGUCGCAGAGCUGGCACUUGGCGGCGGCCCGGCCUUCCUGGUAGCGCUGCACGAUGGCCUCCAGCAGCCGGUUGCGCGGGAAGCCGCGGAGGCCGCGCGGGUCCAGGGAGGCGCUGCGGUGGCAUUGCGGGCAGGCGAGUUCAUGCAAUUGGAACCAAGGAGGAGCCUCUGAGGAGGAUGAAGUUUCUCCAGUUGUGGAUGGAAGAUGCAACUGUCGCUCUGGGAGAGGAGGUGCGGUCUCAUCGGGAGAGUUCUUGGAGGGCAGAUUAACAUGCGAAGCAGAGGAAGAGGUUCAGCAAUGCCCUGAGUUCUGUCUUCAGCCAAGGAGGGUUCAGAAGGAACUGAGGGGGGUCAGAACGCACGUGCACCAAACAGACUCCAACAACAAUUCGAGACACCAACUGCGCACACACGUCCCGACCAGGCACUGCUACCGAAGAUCUCUCAUCAAUGGUGCCGGGAUGCACCGACACCUGAAGUGAAGCACCCACAGGGAUACCACUCAAAGAAGAACUUUUGUUUUCAAACAAAAGGCUAGCAUUAACUUUUGGUAGCUGAAAAGCAUAAAGAAUCUGAGAGAAAUGGGACUGGACAUGGAUAACCUGGAGACCCCUGUUCUGGCAGUUAUGGCUUUGAUUCUGAAUGUCUUUGCCUUGUUAUUGGCACACCAAAGGGUUCAUUUCAGCAGAGGGAGGAAGGACAGACACCAAGAGGGAAGAAGUGAAGCAGAGGAGGAAAGAGCAAGAGCCAGAGUUGUGAUGGUAGAGCUAAUAAAUGCAUGACCUCUUGGUGGCAGUGAGCAUGAUAUGAUGGAGGGUUCAACACAGGAGUUAUAUCAUCUUUCUCCAUUUUGUGACUCAUAAUUUAUGCCUGAGG